AUUCAAUUCGUCAGUAUUCUUAAAAAGGGUUCCGCUGGACCUCGUAGCGAUCGAGCUAAUUUACAUCGGUGUCCUGGCCCGGCAUUCGAUCGAUAAACGAACGCACGAACCCCUUAAGUAUGCCAUGUAUCGGUAAAACGGUCUUGGAUAAAACCUACACUUAAGGGAGUGCUAAGCCGAGCUCCGCGCUCGCACCGUUUCGACGGAAUCAAUAGUUUCGACAAACUUUGGUUUCGUCGGACGACAGAUUAAGCCGAGCUCCGCGCUCGCACCGCUUCGACAGAAUCAAUAGUUUCGACAACUUUGGUUUCGUCGGACGACAGAUUAAGCCGAGCUCGCACCACUUCGACGGAAUCAAUAGUUUCGACAACUUUGGUUUCGUCGGACGACAGAUUAAGCCGAGCUCCUCGCACCGCUUCGACGAAAUCAAUAGUUUCGACAACUUUGGUUUCGUCGGACGACAGAUUAAGCCGAGCUCGCACCGCUUCGACGGAAGUUUCGACAACUUUGGUUUCGUCGGACGACAGAUUAAGCCGAGCUCCGCGCUCGCACCGCUUCGACGGAAUCAAUAGUUUCGACAACUUUGGUUUCGUCGGACGACAGAUUAAGCCGAGCUCCUCGCACCGCUUCGACGAAAUCAAUAGUUUCGACAACUUUGGUUUCGUCGGACGACAGAUUAAGCCGAGCUCGCACCGCUUCGACGGAAGUUUCGACAACUUUGGUUUCGUCGGACGACAGAUUAAGCCGAGCUCCGCGCUCGCACCGUUUCGACGGAAUCAAUAGUUUCGACAUCUUUGGUUUCUUCGGACGACAGAUUAAGCCGAGCUCCGCGCUCGCACCGUUUCGACGGAAUCAAUAGUUUCGACAUCUUUGGUUUCUUCGGACGACAGAUUAAGCCUACUUGGCCCAAUGCCCAAACCCAAGUCAAAAACCCAAAAUAAGUUCCAAACCAAGGAGUAUUAAGGCGAAGGGUAGUUUCGUCAAAUCCUUCGAUGAAUGCCCUACACGCAUAGUGCUAUAAAUACGGAAUAGCAUGUCCUGUCACGAGGGGGAUUCGGCCAGGACACUUAGAGACAAAGAGUAGCUCGCCCGUCUCAAGUAGCUCGUCCGUCUCAAGUAGCUUGUCCUUCUCAAGUAGUUCACAGAGCACAUCGAUGGGUGAGAACUGUUAUCCCUCUCAUACUGACCAUCAUCUACUUUACUGUCUUCAAUUUCCAAACCCUUGCAGCAUCUGUUUUGAUCAUAUCAGUGGUUUUUGGAAUUUUCGUGUUGGUUCAGUUGGUUUUCCCUCUAGAAGGAUUUUACUUUUUUUAUGUAGUGCUCAUUUUGUUAUUUGGAUGCUGCUCAGCUGUAUUUGCUGGUCAGUAUGAUCCCAAAACCCAGCCAUUUGGGUUCUGCCUAUUAACUCUCUUUGUUUUUGAAAUGUUUUUCUACUUUUUCAACUAUCCUGGGCCUACUAAUAGGGCAUUCAGUUUCUAUUAGAUUACUCUCAAAAUGAUUGUCAGAUCUAAUUCACAAGAGACUUUUUUUGCAUGUAUAAAUAUCUGGAUAUUUAAGCAUGACUUAGACUAUCUAUUUUUUUUUUUAUAAAUUAUAUUAGUUGAUCUGGUUAGUUUGGUUAGGAAGGUAUUAAAAUAUUACAAAGUGGAUUUUUUUCUUAAAUGACCGCUACACUGCUUAUCUCGAAUUUGGAAUAUUUCCAUACUAAUGUUUGGGAGUAGCCAUAUAGCCUAUUGUUGGACUACCAUCAUAAUAUAAACUGUUAGGGUCUAAUCUAGAUUUUCGAUAUAAAUGUGAUAUUUGUUUUAGGAAAGCUCGAACCCUUGGAGAGUGUUUUAGCACAUCCCAAAUCUCACUAAUUACGGAUAACUAUGCAUAUAUCUAUUUUUAGAUCUCUUAUAUUUGAAAACUAGCUAGAUAGAUUUUUUGAGACAAAUCAUUACCAUUCAAAGCACCUCAUAUCUAACUAGAUGAAUGUGGUAGAUGCAACUCUUUUUUUUUCUUUAUUAGAAAUUUAGGAUACAGUCUUUAUUAGUGAGACGCUAUAACUCAACGGAAUAUUGUUGUGACCAACAUUUACCUAAUUCGUAUCCUUACAAUCUCAAGAUGGCAGCAUAGUAAACGUUGGAUAUAUGCUUUAUCUUCUUCUUUUUAUAUCCAAAAUAUAUAACGUUGUUUACCGUAAUGCCGUCGAAAAUGAGUAUCAUAGGGGAACUUUUUUGUAGACGUUGACAAUUCAGUAGGGACCUCAAGAUUACAGAAGAAGGAACAAAAUAAGGAAUGCUUCUGAUUCAUUGUCCAUUGACGAGAGAACUUAUUGGCCUUUUGCAUGUAAACUAAUAAAUACAUAUCUUUUUUUUUGUCUAAAAGAUAAAUACAUAUCUUAAGUGUCGUCUUUCCACUAAGCAGAUUUCUCACCUGUGCAAAUAUUGUCCCUCUAAGAAAAACCUUUUCUUUAUGUAAACAUUGUCCCUAAUCAUGUUUUCCAAUUAUGUCUUGGAUACUAGACAAAAUUCGAAAAGACACUCAUAUUUUUAUAUACAUCCCAAUAUAAAAUUUUUUUAUCCUACACUAGAAAACACAUAUAAAAUAGAAAUGGCGAUGCAUGUGAAGAUAUGAUAAAUUAAGUCUAGGCCUCCGUUAUGACCCGAAACAAAAUUUCUAAACCGACCGAACCAGUUUUGAAAAGUAUCCAACCCUAUAAACUCAUCAUAAAAGUGUUUAUUUUCUAAUUUUCAGCUCAAUAUAUGUCAAUUCUUAUAAAAGCCCCCAAUAUGAAUACCAGUUAAAAAAAAAAAAAAUGAAUACCAGUUACCACGCAGUUGCCCAACGUAAAACUACGAUUUCUCUAUUAUAGCAUUAAUUAUUAGUAAACAAAAAUUGUGUAGACUAUGAUUAAUUUAGGGUUUGAAAACUUACCUAAACAUAAAAUGAACAAGCGGAUGAAUUUUACAACUCCCAAUACAUUUGGUAAUCAUAUUAAAUUAUUCUACUAUAUGAAUUAAGCUUAUUAAACUAAACAAUGUCUUUAUCCAAGAAGAAAUUAAGUACUGAUGAUGCUGACCGGAUGUCAAAAGAAAAAAAAAGUAUUGACCAAAAAGUCCAAAAAAAAUUGUUGCCGUUGGGGAAGAAUCGCGACCUUCAAUCCCGUCGCUGUCAUCUUCUUUAUAUUCUUAUUUUUUUAUUUUUUAUUUUUUACAGAAAUCAUCUUACUUUAUAUAAAAGACAAAAUACAGGGGCUUUUAGGGUUGUUUUAUUGUUUACUGAAGGAGUAAAUAAGUAAAUGUUUAUCUACAGAAAAAAAAUUAAGAUUACCACAUCAAAUUGUGUUACUUAGUACUAUUAAUAUAAAAUUUUAAAAAGGAAAAUGAUUACCACUACUCAUUAUUGGAAUACCCUGGAUACUUAUUAGGUUUUAUCAUUAUUUGUUUAAAGUAAAUUUUUUUGUCUGAUUUUUUUUUCUUUCUAAACUAUAAAAAUUCAAAUAAUUCGGGUCAAUUUUGAAAUUACAAAAUACAAAUUAUGCAUAAAUACAUGUAAACAAAAACAUCAUUUGUAUGCUUCAAUACGAACCUUAUGAAAAAAAAUCCAUUGGCAUAACUAAUUAAAUUAAAGUUUCACACAAAUACAACUGAAAAAAAAAAGAGGGACGAAUGCACGUGCAUAAACGACAAACAAUGAAUGAAAAUGGUAAAAAAGAUUUUAUUUUUCUUAUAAAACAACCCACGGUGCCACUCCUAUUUCCUCUCGCUCUUCUUUCUCCACCAUUUUCAGAUCCAUUUCUAAGCUUCUUCCUUUCCCUUUCCCUUUCUACAUUGUCAAUGGUUAAUUUUGGGGAUUUUGUUUUCGGGGUUUAUCACUUUGUUUACCAGUUUGUUCUCCAUCCCAUUUACCAGUAUGUUAUGCGUCCUAUCUUCCUCUUUGUUUACCAGUUUGUUCUCCAUCCCAUUUACCAGUAUGUUAUGCGUCCUAUCUUCCUCUUUAUAUUGAGACCUAUUUACUUGGGAAUCAAUAGGGUUUUGGGAGGGAUCUCGUGGUUGUAUGGGUUUAGAUACACUCUGAUGGUGCAAGGUAUACUUUGUUACUGGAGAGCGUUUCUAUACUUUGAGCGAUCAAGUUUGUGGGAAAAGUUUGUAGAGAAACAUGAGAGAAAUCACGAAAAAUCUUAUUUAAUCCCACUUUUGUGGACUAUGAAUGGGGUUUUCCUUAUCUUUAUCAUCCUUCUGGUUUUGGCUGCAACUCUUGCGGUAGAAGCCAAUAUGAGGAAAGUUUUUAAUAUUCAAGGACAGAUUGGAGUUAACUUUUAUUGUCUAGGUAAGAGUACCGGGGAAGUAUCAGUUUUAAGGUUAAUGGUUUAUAUAAGUGAUCCUGUUGCAGAUAAAUCGGUAGCUGAAAUGAAUGUUGCUUCAUGCUUUGUGUGUAGUUAUCUAAGCGUUGUUAGUCUUAUGAAACUUUGCUAUGUGGGGAAUGAUUUAGGGUUCAUAGAUGGGAUAGCUUCUGUAGCCUUAUCUAUAUUCACCCAUUAUUGUGAAGCCUAUCAUUGUAGAGUACUUGGGAUCUUCAUAUGUUGGGGUAUGAUAUUGCUAAAGAACAUUUUAUUCACCGCUUGCUGUCGACGUUAUCUGCAACAUGGUCACUUAUAUAAACCAUUAACCUUAAAAUUGAUACUUCCCCGGUACUCUUACCUAGACAAUAAAAGUUAACUCCAAUCUGUCCUUGAAUAUUAAAAACUUUCCUCAUAUUGGCUUCUCCCGCAAGAGUUGCAGCAAAAACCAGAAGGAUGAUAAAGAUAAGGAAAACCCCAUUCAUAGUCCACAAAAGUGGGAUUAAAUAAGAUUUUUCGUGAUUUCUCUCAUGUUUCUCUACAAACUUUUCCCACAAACUUGAUCUCUCAAAGUAUAGAAACGUUCUCCAGUAACAAAGUAUACCUUGCACCAUCAGAGUGUAUCUAAACCCAUACAACCACGAGAUCCCUCCCAAAACCCUAUUGAUACCCAAGUAAAUAGGUCUCAAUAUAAAGAGGAAGAUAGGACGCAUAAGAUACUGGUAAAUGGGAUGGAGAACAAACUGGUAAACAAAGAGGAAGAUAGGACGCAUAACAUACUGGUAAAUGGGAUGGAGAACAAACUGGUAAACAAAGUGAUAAACCCCGAAAACAAAAUCCCCAAAAUUAACCAUUGACAAUGUAGAAAGGGAAAGGGAAAGGAAGAAGCUUAGAAAUGGAUCUGAAAAUGGUGGAGAAAGAAGAGCGAGAGGAAAUAGGAGUGGCACCGUGGGUUGUUUUAUAAGAAAAAUAAAAUCUUUUUUACCAUUUUCAUUCAUUGUUUGUCGUUUAUGCACGUGCAUUCGUCCCUCUCUUUUUUUUUCAGUUGUAUUUGUGUGAAACUUUAAUUUAAUUAGUUAUACCAAUGGAUUUUUUUUCAUAAGGUUCGUAUUGAAGCAUACAAAUGAUGUUUUUGUUUACAUGUAUUUAUGCAUAAUUUGUAUUUUGUAAUUUCAGAAUUGACCCGAAUUAUUUGAAUUUUUAUAGUUUAGAAAGAAAAAAAAUCAGACAAAAAAAUUUACUUUAAACAAAUAAUGAAAAAACCUAAUAAGUAUCCAGGGUAUUCCAAUAAUGAGUAGUGGUAAUCAUUUUCCUUUUUAAAAUUUUAUAUUAAUAGUACUAAGUAACACAAUUUGAUGUGGUAAUCUUAAUUUUUUUUCUGUAGAUAAACAUUUACUUAUUUACUCCUUCAGUAAACAAUAAAACAACCCUAAAAGCGCAUGUAUUUUGUCUUUUAUAUAAAGUAAGAUGAUUUCUGUAAAAAAUAAAAAAUAAAAAAAUAAGAAUAUAAAGAAGAUGACAGCGACGGGAUUGAAGGUCGCGAUUCUUCCCCAACGGCAACAAUUUUUUUUGGACUUUUUGGUCAAUACUUUUUUUUUCUUUUGACAUCCGGUCAGCAUCAUCAGUACUUAAUUUCUUCUUGGAUAAAGACAUUGUUUAGUUUAAUAAGCUUAAUUCAUAUAGUAGAAUAAUUUAAUAUGAUUACCAAAUGUAUUAGGAGUUGUAAAAUUCAUCCGCUUGUUCAUUUUAUGUUUAGGUAAGUUUUCAAACCCUAAAUUAAUCAUAGUCUACACAAUUUUUGUUUACUAAUAAUUAAUGCUAUAAUAGAGAAAUCGUAGUUUUACGUUGGGCAACUGCGUGGUAACUGGUAUUCAUUUUUUUUUUUUUAACUGGUAUUCAUAUUGGGGGCUUUUAUAAGAAUUGACAUAUAUUGAGCUGAAAAUUAGAAAAUAAACACUUUUAUGAUGAGUUAAUAGGGUUGGAUACUUUUCAAAACUGGCUCGGUCGGUUUAGAAAUUUUGUUUCGGGUCAUAACGGAGGCCUAGACUUAAUUUAUCAUAUCUUCACAUGCAUCGCCAUUUCUAUUUUAUAUGUGUUUUCUAGUGUAGGAUAAAAAUUUUUAUAUUGGGAUGUAUAUAAAAAUAUGAGUGUCUUUUCGAAUUUUUUCUAGUAUCCAAGACAUAAUUGGAAAACAUGAUUAGGGACAAUGUUUACAUAAAGAAAAGGUUUUUCUUAGAGGGACAAUAUUUGCACAGGUGAGAAAUCUGCUUAGUGGAAAGACGACACUUAAGAUAUGUAUUUAUUUUUUAGACAAAAAAAAAGAUAUGUAUUUAUUAGUUUACAUGCAAAAGGCCAAUAAGUUCUCUCGUCAAUGGACAAUGAAUCAGAAGCAUUCCUUAUUUUGUUCCUUCUUCUGUAUUCUUGAGGUCCCUACUGAAUUGUCAACGUCUACAAAAAAGUUCCCCUAUGAUACUCAUUUUCGACGGCAUUACGGUAAACAACGUUAUAUAUUUUGGAUAUAAAAAGAAGAAGAUAAAGCAUAUAUCCAACGUUUACUAUGCUGCCAUCUUGAGAUUGUAAGGAUACGAAUUAGGUAAAUGUUGGUCACAACAAUAUUCCGUUGAGUUAUAGCGUCUCACUAAUAAAGACUGUAUCCUAAAUUUCUAAUAAAGAAAAAAAAAGAGUUGCAUCUACCACAUUCAUCUAGUUAGAUAUGAGGUGCUUUGAAUGGUAAUGAUUUGUCUCAAAAAAUCUAUCUAGCUAGUUUUCAAAUAUAAGAGAUCUAAAAAUAGAUAUAUACAUAGUUAUCCGUAAUUAGUGAGAUUUGGGAUGUGCUAAAACACUCUCCAAGGGUUCGAGCUUUCCUAAAACAAAUAUCACAUUUAUAUCGAAAAUCUAGAUUAGACCCUAACAGUUUAUAUUAUGAUGGUAGUCCAACAAUAGGCUAUAUGGCUACUCCCAAACAUUAGUAUGGAAAUAUUCCAAAUUCGAGAUAAGCAGUGUAGCGGUCAUUUAAGAAAAAAAUCCACUUUGUAAUAUUUUAAUACCUUCCUAACCAAACUAACAAGAUCAACUAAUAUAAUUUAUAAAAAAAAAAAUAGAUAGUCUAAGUCAUGCUUAAAUAUCCAGAUAUUUAUACAUGCAAAAAAAGUCUCUUGUGAAUUAGAUCUGACAAUCAUUUUGAGAGUAAUCUAAUAGAAUUUGAAUGCCCUAUUAGUAGGCCCAGGAUAGUAGAAAAAGUAGAAAAACAUUUCAAAAACAAAGAGAGUUAAUAGGCAGAACCCAAAUGGCUGGGUUUUGGGAUCAUACUGACCAGCAAAUACAGCUGAGCAGCAUCCAAAUAACAAAAUGAGCACUACAUAAAAAAAGUAAAAUCUUUCUACAGGGAAAACCAACUGAACCAACACGAAAAUUCCAAAAACCACUGAUAUGAUCAAAACAGAUGCUGCAAGGGUUUGGAAAUUGAAGACAGUAAAGUAGAUUAUGGUAAGCAGUAUGAGAGGGAUAACAGUUCUCACCCAUCGAUGUGCUCUGUAAACUGGAGAUGGAGCUUCAGAGAAAAUGGAAUGCAAGACUGGAAUCACAUAGAUAGCUACAACAAACAUUACCAGAUAAGAGACAUCCAUCUGGAUCUCCAAGGCAUUCACAGCACCCACAGCUCCAAAAACGCAGAGAAAAGCCAUGAUAGUCCAACCAAAUCUGGUUACUGGAUCAUUCACACCAAACACUUCAACUCUCUGGGGAAUCUUCGUCUUUCCUUUAUUAUUUUGGUUUCGCUUAGAUUUUUUGGCCAUUGUUGCCGGGGUUUUU
rnacentral:sRNA from 1 species